UAGGUGAAGUCCUUGAGUGCCUCAAGAAUGAAUCGCCGAACAUCGUCAUACAGCGGUAUGUUUUCGUUCAACUAUUAAUCUUGCAUCUCCAACCGUGGAAUGAGUUACAUGUGACUUGAGACAAACAAACGGUGCAAUUGCAACAAUAAAAUUAGUCAGCGGUAUGGUCACUAUCAGCAGCUUUACACACAGUGUGCAUCGUAAAUACACCAAUCCCAGAGAAAACAUUCCAAUGGCAAAUAUUGGGAAUUUCUGCCCUACCAUCCUGAACUACACAAUGCUGGUUUGUAUAAAUAGGUAUAAAAAAACCUAUCAACAGUAUUUUUAGUUUGCAUUUUGCUUUAACAUACAACUCUAUGGCAUGUUGAUAUUAGCUAAAUUUUUAUUAUUUAUAAGAUUAGACAGUACGGAAAAUUCUUCUCUCGGAAGUUUAUGACUUUGGACUUCCUUGCGAUAACCCUUGAGGCAAGAAGCUUUUCCUGCUUUGUGUGGACAGGAACAUUAGAGGCAUUGAUGUCUGAAACCAACAAGUGUCUUGCAAAGAAAUUAAAAAGAAACAUUGAUGUUGGUUAUCCUCUGAGGGAUGCUGAA